rnacentral:tRNA from 3 species
GCGCCCGUGGCGGAAUAGGCAGACGCGAUGGGUUUAGGUCCCAUUCCGAGAGGGUGCGGGUUCAAGUCCUGUCGGGCGCACCA